CUACUGAGCCGGCCGCAGAAAUUGCAGCCGCUCAGCUUCUACCCCCUCCUGCCUUUCCUUCCUCUUUCCUUACUUCCUUCCCUUCCCUCGGCUUCCCGCUCUUGCCUCACUCUCAGCGGCUGCCUUCGCCCCUGUCUGCAGACAGCGCCGCUGGAUGCUCCCAGCUGGACUUCAACCCCACUCCUCUCAGUCCCUCUCCCCACUGCCUUCCAGACGCGCCUCUUCCCCGCCCCGCGCCCCUCUCUCCUCUCCCACCCCUGCCCCUCUCCGCGGCGCUCACCCUCCUCAGUCCCAGUUUCUGAAAGGACUCAGCUGAGAAAGGACAACUGGGUUCCGCUUUCCUUAACCCUACACCCUUUAGCUGGAUGCUGUCAGAGGCGAUGGAGAAACGCAAAGGACACAGCAAGAGGCAACAUUUUGGAAGCAGAGGGCAACUCUCACUGGAAACCAAAUCUCCUGGCACCUUGAUCUUGGAUUUUACAGCCUCCAGAACUGAUAGCUGGGAGGCAUUACAUAGUCAUGUGCGAGGUCAAAACUGAGUCACCACCACAACCAAGUUCCAGCUGGCAAGAAGAGGAAAAAUAACACAGAGGAGUUAUGACCAGUGUUGUAAGGAUCUGGCCUAGAAAUGGCAUGCAUCUCUUCCACUAAUAUCCUAUUGGUAAAAAUGUAGUCACAUGGGCACACCACCUAUCUGCAUGGAAGGCUGGGAAAUGUUGAUCGGUAGGGCAGCCAUAUGUGUAGGAAGGAGAAAACAGAAUUUGGUGGAUACCUAGUAGUCUCUGCCAUACCCUUGACCAGAAAUUUUUCUUCUAAAGAAUUUAAUUCUAAAAGUUAUAGACAUUCCCAAAGAUAUACCUGCAAGCAUCACAGCUUUGUGUAUAAUUGCAAAAGUUGAAAUCAACAUGAAUGCCCAAAAUAGUGAAUUAUUUAAACAGAUUAUUACCCAUAUUAUGAAGAAAUACUCUGCAACUCUUAAAAAUAAAUGUAAUGUGCCAGGCGCAAUGGGAUAUGCCUGCAGGCCCAGCUACACGGGAGGCCAAGGCAGGAGGAUCACUUGAAAUCAAGAGUUCAAGUCUAGCCUAGACAACAUAGUGAGACUUGGUCUCUAAAAAAGAAAAAAAAAAAUAAAACUGAUGUAAUGAAUAUAUAAUUACAACAAAAGAGGUCUAACACUAUAGUAGAAAAGUUUGGGGCACUCAUCCCAUUCAUAAUUAUUUUACAUUUAAAUUACUGUUCCUACUUAAGUGGUGAGCUUGGUAACCAUUUUCAUAUCAGGUGAUACUGCUGCAGUAAUCAUAGCUGUUUGAAUCAGGAAUAAUCCCAAUCACAUUUUCUCUUAAUCGUUUAUUAUACUGGGCAUUGGGGUUGCAAGAUAAUGCACAGUCCGAGCUCAAUACAUGUCUUCAUGUACCUGUAUGUAAAUCCCACUUUUAUUCUAAAAUUCUUUGAAUAUUUUGUUUCUUGGAACCCAAUGAUCCUAAGAAAAUUAUGUACUUUUACCUGAAAAUUAAAACCAAUAUUUAUAAAAAGUGUAUAUGCAGUAUGAUACCACUUUUAAAAAAAGAUAAAUUUAUAGAAAAAAGUUUAUAUGACUGACAACAAUGUCUCUGAGUGGUAGGAUUACAGUUAAUUUUUAUUUUCUUCAUUCUACUUAUCUUUAUUUUCUGAACUUUCUACAAUGAACAUGUUUUAUUUUUACUUUUGUUAAAAUAAAUAACAUUUAAUUUGACGGAAAAUUCUAAAAAUCAACAUUUGGUAACUUAAAUAUUCAUUGGCACAUGAUUCUGUGCCUGUUUCUGGGGGUCAUUCCCAUGAGAAGAGCAGGUAGAACUUAUGAGAAUAGAGCAGUCGAAAUAUUAUAGGUUUCAUAUUUUACGGCUUUAUUGAAAACAUUGAUAUAUUGAAUAUUCAUAAAUUUUAAUUUAACUUUCUUUUAUAAUCCUUAAUGUGAGGCUAAGGUAUAAGGAGAAAGGAGAUUGGUAAGGAAGUGUGAUACAUAUUGAAUCAGGUGUCAAGGUACCAUUUGUGCCUGGAUCUGACCAAUAGACCAAGGUAAAAAUCUCAAAGAAUGAGACUUGUAAUGAGAAUGCCACAAACUUGAAUACCUUAUGCACAAAACACAAACAUUGUUAUGCAUAAUGUACAUGAACCCUGAAACAAAGAUAAUGAUUUGGACCACCCAACUGAAGUGGCAUGUUAUGUUUUUGGCAUGAACAAAAGAAACAAGAGAGAAAAAAAUCAAAAUAAUUAAAAUAAAUUGUUAGAGAAAAGUUACUUUAAAAAUAGCUAUAACGCUUUGCAAUUUCAGUAACAGUUCUGCCUCUGAUGCAAUGUAAAACAUGUAUUAGACAUUCAGGCUCCACAAUAAAUUUUAAUGAGCACUACAAAUUUAGAAUAUAUAAAAAUAUCAGUAACCUAUGAAUUCAUCAACAUAACUCACUUUUCAGUUAAGUUAGGCUGAGUUGAAAUUCUACUAAGUUUUCCCAUAUUCUUGAUAAAGGCUAAAUUUGAAAUAAUUUAUUUAGAUGACUAAUUGGCAAUUUGAUAGUAGUUACAUUUUAUGUAACACUUGAUAUAAUAACCCAAAUUAAUUAGCUCAAUAUUAUCUUCUGUGGUUUAUUGAUCCAAAAGUACAUAUUUGUUAUGUAAACUUAUACUAUGUAAACUUGAAUUAGUUUUUUGCUUCCUUGAAUUAAUAAAGCCCAUUAAUGCAAAUCUAAGCCUUCAUAGACUUUUCCAAUCCUUAGUUAAAUAUUAAAAACUGAGUAUUGUAGUUAUUUGCUAGGUAUAAAAGGUGACUCAGAGUAGAGAGUAAGAUGUCAGCAAAUAGACAAUAAGAUGUCAGCAAAAGUGCCUCAAAUUUUAACUGCGUCAAGUUAAGGGCAUUGUAAAUACUGUAGUUUUAUGUAGCUUGCAACUUCUACUGAAAUGAGUUUAAUCAUGUCUUUCACAUAGCUGAAGUUUGUGUCAAGAUUUAAGCUGAUUUUCUCAUUCUUAUCAAAGUCUCACCUGGGGGUAGGGAGGGGUAGGCCUACCUCCCACCUCUAUACUAUCAUUUUAGGAACAGACAGGCAUAAAUCUGUUCAUAUGGUAGAACACAUGAUGUUAGAGUAUAUUUUGUUGAAUGCUAUGGAAUAUUAAUAUAAUUAAUUCUAAAAUAUCACCUAAAAUAUGUCAACUGAAGAUCUGACUGUACUAAAUAUGAAAAAUAAAGCAGCACAUACUUUC
rnacentral:lncRNA from 1 species